ACGCUCGACACCUACAGGAGGCAGCAGUGGGGAAUAUUGCACAAUGGGGGAAACCCUGAUGCAGCGACGCCGCGUGAGCGAAGAAGUAUUUCGGUAUGUAAAGCUCUAUCAGCAGGGAAGAAACUGACGGUACCUGACUAAGAAGCACCGGCUAAAUACGUGCAGCAGCCGCGGUAAUCUGAGGCGGGCUGGCAAGGC
rnacentral:rRNA from 1 species